rnacentral:lncRNA from 1 species
UAUAAAUAAAAAGAAAAAAAAAGAAAUGUGACAUCCUGAUGCCAAACAGGGCACCAACGUCAAAAUGAGUUGACAUAAAAUAGAUAUUUACAUUACAGUAGAACUAUACAUCUAAUACAAAAUUUAUAAAAGACUGUAUCCUAAGGCAAUUAGGCCAUCUACCUUUUAGAAUACAAAAUAUUAGAUAGCAUAAUUAUAAAAACUAGCCUCAAAGUUUAAAACAAAAUACAAAGUCUGCUCGAAACUAU